rnacentral:rRNA from 1 species
UACGGAGGGUGCAAGCGUUGUUCGGAAUUACUGGGCGUAAAGGGCUCGUAGGCGGCCAACUAAGUCCGACGUGAAAUCCCCAGGCUUAACCUGGGAACUGCGUCGGAUACUGGUUGGCUUGAAUCCGGGAGAGGGAUGCGGAAUUCCAGGUGUAGCGGUGAAAUGCGUAGAUAUCUGGAGGAACACCGGUGGCGAAGGCGGCAUCCUGGACCGGCAUUGACGCUGAACAGCGAAAGCCAGGGGAGCAAACGGG